CAUUAAAAAGUUAAUUGUGUAAUUCAAUUUAUUUUGAAUUUAAAUUUUUAUUUUUUUUUAAUUUAUUAAAAUAUUAAAAAGUUUUAUUAUAUUUAAAAGAAGAAAUAUUUAUAAUAAUAGAGGAUGAGUAUAGUGAUAGAAAGAUAUUAAUUAAUAUAAAGAAUAUUUUAUUUAUAGUACCUUGGGUUUCAGGGUUGAUUAAUAAUAAUUAAUAUAGUUUUAUUUUCUCGAAAUAAUUAAGAGCUAAUUUUAUUUUUAUGUUAAUGUAGAAUUAUUAUUUUAAAUAUAUUAUUGGUAAUGAAAUGUUAUUCGUUUUUUUUUAUAUCUAGUUGUUUAAGAAAUAUAUUUAAUAUAGUUUUUAUUUUAUAAUAUUAUAAUUAUUUAUAUUAUUGUAAAUUAGAAUUUUAUAUUUUAAGGGUUGAGCUUUAAAUUAAAUUUUUAUAAAUUAUUUAUUAUUUAAAAUUAGAUAGAAUUAGAAUUUUUAAUUUUUAUUAAUAUGUUAUAAUUAAGUUUUAUUUUUAUUUUAUUUAUAUUUAUUUUAAUUUUUUUAUUAAAUAUUUAAAUUGAAUUUUUUAAUUAUAGAUAUAAUGAUUAAAUUAGUAUUGUUUAUUUAAUGUUGGAUUAAUUUUUUAAGAUAGGUUUAAAUAAGGAAUUCGGCAAAUAUUUUUUUCACCUGUUUAUUAAAAACAUGUCCUUUUGAGAAUGAUUUAAGGUUUGGCCUGCUCAAUGAUUGAUUGAAUAGCUGCAGUAUUUUGACUGUACAAAGGUAGCAUAAUCAUUAGUUUUUUAAUUGAAAGCUUGUAUGAAUGGUUAAAUGAGAAAAAGGCUGUCUAUUUAGAUUUGUAAUAGAAUUUUAUAUUUAAGUUAAAAAGCUUAAAUGGAGUUGAAAGACGAGAAGACCCUAUAGAGUUUAAUUAAAUAUAAAUUAAUUUAAUUUAAGAAUUUUAUAUUUAAUAGUUAUUUAUUUAAUUUGAUUGGGGUGAUUAUAAAAUUUAGCUAACUUUUAUAUAUUUUAACCAUUAAUUUAUGUUUUUUUGAUCCAUUAUUAGUGAUUAAUAGAAUAAAUUACCUUAGGGAUAACAGCGUAAUUUUUUUGGAGAGUUCUUAUUAAUAAAAAAGAUUGCGACCUCGAUGUUGGAUUAAAAUAUACUACUGGCGCAGAAGUUGGUUAGUUAGGUCUGUUCGACCUAUAAAAUUUUACAUGAUCUGAGUUUAAACCGGUGUGAGCCAGGUUGGUUUCUAUCUUUAAUUGGUUAAUAUAUUUUAGUACGAAAGGACCAGGUGUAUAUAAAAUUUAUUUUUAAUAGAAUUAUGUUAAAUUGUUAUUUUGGCAGAUUAGUGCAUUAAAUUUAGAAUUUAAUUAUGUAUUUAAAUAC
rnacentral:rRNA from 1 species